UGCGUAGGCGGUCUUGUCGGUCAGAUGUGAAAGCCCAGGGCUCAACCCUGGACGUGCAUUUGAAACAGCAAGACUUGAGUACGGGAGAGGAAAGCGGAAUUCCUGGUGUAGAGGUGAAAUUCGUAGAUAUCAGGAGGAACACCGAUGGCGAAGGCAGCUUUCUGGACCGAUACUGACGCUGAGGCGCGAAGGCGUGGGUAGCGAACAGGAUUAGAUACCCUGGUAGUC
rnacentral:rRNA from 1 species